UACAGAGGUCUCAAGCGUUGUUCGGAUUCAUUGGGCGUAAAGGGUGCGUAGGCGGCGCGGUAAGUCGGGUGUGAAAUCUCGGGGCUUAACUCCGAAACUGCAUUCGAUACUGCUGUGCUUGAGGACUGGAGAGGAGACUGGAAUUUACGGUGUAGCGGUGAAAUGCGUAGAUAUCGUAAGGAAGACCAGUGGCGAAGGCGAGUCUCUGGACAGUUCCUGACGCUGAGGCACGAAGGUCAGGGGAGCAAACGGG
rnacentral:rRNA from 1 species